rnacentral:lncRNA from 1 species
CGGCUUCUGGAUCGACCGCAUCAAGUCCCACUGCUACGUCACCGUGAGUGGGGCGCGGGGGGGGGGGCCCUAUGGGGCGCUAUGGGGUCGCUAUGGGGCGCUAUGGGUUGUUAUGGGGUCUUUAUGGCGUUCUAUGGGGUCUCUAUGGGGUCUCUGUGGGGUUUUAUGGGGUCUUCAUGGGGUUUUAUGGGGUCUCUAUGGGGCUCUGUGGGUCUCUGUGGGUCGCUAUGGGGUCUCUAUGGGGUCUUUGUGGGGUGUUAUGGAGUCUAUGGGUUUCUGUGGGGUCUCUAUGGGUCUCUAUGGGUCUCUGUGGGUUUCUAUGGGGUCUCUGUGGGUCUCUGUGGGUCGCUAUGGGUCACUAUGGGGUCGCUAUGGGGUCGCUAUGGGGUCUCUGUGGGCUUUCAUGGGUCUCUGUGGGUCGCUAUGGGUCACUGUGGGUUGUUACGGGGUCUCUAUGGGGUUUCUGUGGGGUCUCUAUGGGGUCUCUGUGGGUUUCUAUGGGGUCUCUAUGGGUCUCUGUGGGUCUCUGUGGGUCGCUAUGGGGUCUCUAUGGGGUCUUUGUGGGGUGUUAUGGAGUCUAUGGGUUUCUAUGGGGUCUCUGUGGGUCUCUGUGGGUCGCUAUGGGUCACUAUGGGUUGUUAUGGGGUCUCUAUGGGGUCUCUGUGGGUUUCUAUGGGGUCUCUAUGGGUCUCUGUGGGUCGCUAUGGGUCACUGGGUUGUUAUGGGGUCUCUGGGGUCUUUAUGGGGUUUUAUGGGGUCUUUGUGGUUUUCUAUGGGGUCUCUAUGGGUCUCUGUGGGUCUCUGUGGGUCGCUAUGGGGUCUCUGGGUCUCUGUGGGUCGCUAUGGGGUCUCUAUGGGGUCUUUGUGGGGUGUUAUGGAGUCUAUGGGUUUCUAUGGGGUCUCUAUGGGUCUCUGUGGGUCGGGGUGGGGUUCUAUGGGGUCUCUGUGGGUCGCUAUGGGGUCUCUAUGGGUCUUUAUGGGUCUCUGUGGGGUUGCUGUGGGGUGUUAUGGGGUCUUUAUGGGCUUUUAUGGGGUCUCUAUGGGGCUCUGUGGGUCGCUAUGGGGUCUCUAUGGGGUCUCUGUGGGUCUUUAUGGGUCUCUAUGGGUCUCUAUGGUUUCUGGGUCUCUGUGGGUCUCUGUGGGUCUCUAUGGGGUCUCUGUGGGUCGCUGUGGGGCGCUAUGGGGUCUCUAUGGGGUCUCUGUGGGGUUUUAUGGGGUCUCUAUGGGGUUUUUAUGGGUCUCUGUGGGUCUCUAUGGGUCUCUGUGGGUCGCUAUGGAUCUCUGUGGGUCUCUGUGGGUCGCUGUGGGUCUCUAUGGGUCCCAUGGGUCUCUAUGGGUCUCUAUGGGUUUCUAUGGGUCUCUAUGGGGUCUCCAUGGGUCUCUGUGGGUCGCUGUGGGGUCUGUGGGUCGCUAUGGGGUCUCUAUGGGUCUCUGUGAGGUCCCUGUGGGUCUCUAUGGGUCUCUGUGGGUCUCUAUGGGUCGCUGUGGGUUGCUAUGGGUCAGUGUGGGUCACUAUGGGUCGCUGUGGGUCGCUAUGGGUCCCAUGGGUCUCUAUGGGUCUCUAUGGGUCUCUAUGGGAUCUCUGUGGGUCUUUAUGGGUCUCUGUGGGGUUUUAUGGGGUCUCUGUGGGUCUCUAUGGGUCUCUAUGGGUCGUUGUGGGUCUCUAUGGGUCUCUGUGGGUCUCUUGUGGGUCACUAUGGGUCAGUGUAGGUCGCUAUGGGUCACGGUGUGGGUCUCUAUGGGUCGCUGUGGGUUGCUAUGGGUCAGUGUGGGUCACUAUGGGUCGCUGUGUGGGUCGCUAUGGGUCGCUGUGGGUUGCUAUGGGUCUCUAUGGGUCUCUAUGGCUCUCUAUGGUCUCUGUGGGUCUCUGUGGGUUUCUGUGGGUCGCUAUGGGUCCCGCUAUGGGUCGCUGUGGGGCUGCCCCAUAGUACGCGUCGGUGGAGGAGGCGGCGGCGACGCGGGAGGCGCUGCACGGCGUCAGGUGGCCGCAGUCCAACCCC